UACGUAGGGGGCAAGCGUUGUCCGGAUUCAUUGGGCGUAAAGAGCGUGUAGGCGCCAGGUAGGUCGGUUGUGAAAACUGGAGGCUCAACCUUCAGAGGUCGACCGAAACCAUCUGGCUAGAGUCCGGGGAGAGGAGAGUGGAAUUCCAGGUGUAGUGGUGAAAUGCGUAGAUAUCGGGAGGAACACCAGUGGCGAAGGCGACUACCUGGCCUGUUUCUUGACGCUGAUGCGCGAAAGCGUGGGUAGCAAACGAGG
rnacentral:rRNA from 1 species